UUGCAAUGAUGAUAAAAACUAGCUCACUUUGACAGUUGAAUGAAAAGCAAUGAACUUCUGAGCAUU